rnacentral:misc_RNA from 1 species
GGAGAUCAAAAACGAGUCCGUUGAUCUGGAACGGAUUCCCAUAGAGGAAGUGUUUGAGCAGCUGAAAUGUACCAGGGAAGGUCUUACUUCAGAGGAAGGAGCCAAUCGGCUUCAAGUUUUUGGGCCAAACAAACUAGAAGAGAAAAAGGAGAGCAAAAUUCUCAAGUUCUUGGGUUUUAUGUGGAACCCAUUGUCAUGGGUUAUGGAAGCAGCAGCUAUCAUGGCCAUAGCUUUAGCCAAUGGUGAUGGGAGACCUCCUGAUUGGCAGGACUUCGUUGGGAUUGUUGCUUUGUUGUUCAUAAACUCCACAAUCAGUUUCAUCGAAGAAAACAAUGCUGGAAAUGCAGCUGCAGCCCUUAUGGCUGGUCUUGCUCCCAAGACUAAGGUUCUGAGAGAUGGUAGUUGGACUGAGCAAGAAGCUGCAAUUUUGGUCCCAGGGGACAUUAUCAGCAUUAAAUUGGGAGAUAUAAUCCCUGCUGAUGCCCGUCUUCUUGAGGGUGAUCCUUUGAAGGUUGAUCAAUCCGCCCUUACUGGAGAGUCACUUCCUGUUACUAAGAACCCCUCAGAUGAAGUGUUUUCUGGUUCAACAUGUAAACAGGGCGAAAUUGAAGCAGUAGUAAUUGCUACUGGUGUGCAUACCUUCUUUGGUAAGGCUGCCCAUCUGGUGGACAGCACUAAUCAAGUUGGACAUUUCCAAAAAGUUCUAACUGCCAUUGGUAACUUCUGUAUUUGCUCAAUCGCUGUUGGAAUAAUCAUUGAAAUUAUAGUAAUGUAUCCAAUACAGCAUCGCAAGUACAGACAAGGAAUUGACAACCUAUUGGUUCUUUUGAUCGGAGGGAUUCCCAUUGCUAUGCCAACUGUUUUAUCUGUCACCAUGGCUAUUGGUUCACACAGGCUAUCUCAGCAGGGUGCAAUUACAAAGAGAAUGACUGCCAUUGAGGAAAUGGCAGGCAUGGAUGUCCUCUGCAGUGACAAGACUGGAACUCUGACCCUGAACAAGC